CUUGGUCUGAAGGACCUCUGUAAAUAUUUCCGACAGUAUUUUGUUAAGACACAUUUAAACAAGUCUUAACAAAAUACUGUUGGAAAUAUUUGCAGAGGUUCUUCAGACCAA